rnacentral:lncRNA from 1 species
CUGAGUCACUUGCAGUCGGGGGAACGGCAUCUCAUUACAGAGGGAGGUCAGGUGGCUGGGACAAGGAGGCUAUUUUCGACCUUUGGGAAUUACAGCUGAACGUGAGAUUUGUGUUCGGACAGAGGAAAGCCAUAUCAUUUGGCUUGUUUACACCUUUGGCUAGUGUGAAUAAUGCUGCUAUGAACAAAGACAUGCAGAUACCUGCUGGGGCCCCUGCUCUCAGUUCUUUUCAGAAUACACCAGAAGUAGAAUUGCUGCAUCGUGUGGGCCCUGUUCCAUGGAAAACUACAGAAACCCACUAAAGACAAGGCCAUCCAAGACUCACUCUCCAUAAGAAUCAAGAUUUGGGUUACACUGCAGGUAACAAAUAACAUCCAAAGGAGGUUUUGGAAGUGGGAAGACAAUGUGGAAUGUACUGGAAGAAAGCAGCUCUAAGCACCAGCAGCCCCGCCCCCAGGACCUCAGCAGCUGUAUUGGAAGCCAUCUCCUCCCCAUCUUUCUCUCAUUGUGGGUGAAGAACUGGUGCCCAGCACAAUGGGAGGAGGACAUCACUGUCACCAUCACACACUGUUACUGUGACAGAGGGAAGGACUGGAAUUGUGUGUCAUCUGUACGGAGGACUCUGAUUUAUUUUUCCCCCUUGAGACAGGGUCUUG